rnacentral:tRNA from 1 species
UCCAGGGUAGCCUAGUGGACAUGGUAUUUGCCUAGUAAGCGGAACACUGUGGGUUCGAUUCCCAUCCCUGGAC